UACGUAGGGGACGAGCGUUGUCCGGAAUUACUGGGCGUAAAGGGCGCGCAGGCUGCGUUACAAGUCAGCUGUUAAAUGCAUGGGCUUACCCCAUGAGUGCGGUUGAAACUGUAGUGCUAGAGUACUGUAGAGGCAAGCGGAAUUCCCAGUGUAGCGGUGAAAUGCGUAGAUAUUGGGAGGAACACCGGUGGCGUAGGCGGCUUGCUGGACAGUAACCGACGCUGAGGCGCGAAAGCCAGGGGAGCAAACGGGAUUAGAUACCCCUGUAGU
rnacentral:rRNA from 1 species